AAUAUUAUAUUAUAGUUUAUGGAAUUGAGUAGUCUUAUGAUUAGGGUUAUGUUUAAGUAUGUUUUAUAGGGUUUUAAAUACAUCAUAAGUUGCUAAAAAUUUAUUAGUACGCUUAUGAUGGAGUUUUAAUUAUCAAAGUAUGAGUUUUUGAGGGUUUUAAUGACUAGCAUAGUAGUACUAUAGUAGGAAGUAUUAAUGAUUGAAGUUUUAGUGAUGAGAAAGGUUUUUUAACACUUUUAAGGAGGUUUUAAAGUAUUUUAAAGUUGUUAAAAAUUUAUUAGAGGAUUGAUUUGUGGUUAUGUUGAUAUUUGGUAGGCAAAGAAUUCUCUUUUAGGCGACAUUUAAGCUUGUUAAGGUGGCCUCACAUUUUUUUCUUACGCAAGGUUCGUACAUACCUAUGUGUGGGUUGGAUUAGUAUCGUGUCCUAAGGAUGAGAUUUAUGUAGUAUAUUGUAUAGGGAACUAUUUAUAGUUCAUAUGUGAUUUAUAUUCAAGUGAAAUUGCAUGUUUUAUGUCAUUGUGUGAAGCAUGUUGAUUAUGAUAAUUAUAUUAUGUUUGUAUCAAUGAUUGAUGCAAGCAUAUAGGAUUGGAAACUUUAUUUUAUUAAUUCACAUGAGGGAUUAAUAAUUAUGUUGGUAUUGGAUUAUGAAUUGUAUCAUGUUGUUCCUUUGGAUUGUUUAAUACUUUAUGAGGACCGAGAGCCUUAUUUGGUAGGUUGGUUAUUCACCGAUGAAAAGUUGGUUGGUUGUGACUUGGAUCGAAAAAUCAAAUAAUGGUUAUGGAAUUAGUAUUAGAAUUAUUCUUGUAUUGUUAAGUUGAUGAUCACCUUAUCUAAUCCUAAGACAAAAAUGGAAGUUUAUGUAUCUUUGAUGAUUAUAUUGUUUGUCUUACUUUGUGAGUCAUAACAAGUAAAUAAUUUAUCAAUCACUUAAAGUGGAAAAUGAAUAUCAAUAGCUUUAGACUUGUGCACUUCUGAAGUGUUGGACUAGUAUGAGUUCGAGUACAUGGUGGUAGCCUAUGACUUUUCUUGGGACCAAAUUCCAAAUUCAUCAUUGUGUCCUAUUUUUAUUUAAAAGGUUCCUCGAUAUCGUAGGGCAGGAGAGUACGAAGUCGCGCUCGUACUUUUUCUUUUGACUUGAAGACAUGGUUUGGUUUGGACAACUCUUUUCAUUUCCUAUUCCAACUAAAUUAAUUAACUAUUAGUUGUGGAGUCAAGCUCAGUAAAAGUAGUUUGCUAUGUUAUUAUAUUAUUACUUAUCCUUGCAUAAUGUUUGUUAGUAUCAUAUUAUGUUCUAUAUUUAUUUAUCAUAUAGGACUCAGCUUUACUGAUUCCGUGCUUUGUAUGUAUGUGUUGAUCAUGACUAUGUAUGUCUUAUUGAUCCUGUGAUGACCCAUUUAGUGAGCAGUCUCUCGGAUCAGAGUAUCGUCCAUUUCAGGUUUGAGAUGAUGCACCAUGGAGAGCUUGUGCAGACUUUAUUAUAUUAUAGUUGACUUUUACUUUUAUGGUUAAAUUUUGACUUUGUGUUUCUUUGACUUUGGUUUGACCUUUGGAGUUCACUUAUGAUUGACUUAUUUUUUAUUUGCAAAUUUAUUUAUUAUUAUUAUUUACGCUGCAAAAUUCUGAAUAAGUCGAUACAUUAUUACACGACCGAUAAUGCUUUGAUGAUUCUCUAAGUUUUAUAUUGAAAAGGUAUUUCUGAAAAAUAGAGAAUUGUCGGGGUGUAACAUCAUCACGCACCACCACCACCACGUCUGCACUGUCGUUCCAUCACUACCCUCAGUCGGCCGUAAAUUGUUGCCUCGUUGCCAACCCUGCCGCCGAAUGCUAGUUUGCCACCCCAGUUUAAUUUCCUCCUCCAUCCUUUCCUGCGCGUGCCGAUGAAGACUGGUGUUGAGCUUUCUUUGCUUGGAUAAUACUCUCCGAGCCCUUGGACAAAAGGAGAAGUGAAGACUCGGCGUUUGAAGCCAAGGAAUGAAGAAACGGAGUCUCGCCCAAUCCCAUCGGGCUGCCAUAUUGUCACAAGUGAGAUUUGCUGCGGGCCCGAUGGGGUAGGUCGGCCCGAUUCCAUCGGGAGUGCUUGUGUGUGCUGAUGUGCGCGCUGAUGAAAGAAAUUGCUCGCCCGAUGUACUGGCCCGAUACCACUGGGCGUGUUGCAUUCUUGGGCUGAGAUAAAUUGUUUAAUCUGAUUCCAUCGGGCAUGUGUGGCCGAUCGGGCGGUUGGCUCGACACGCUUGUUUUAUUGAUUUUCGAGCUAUUUUCGUAUUAGUUUUCCUUUAUGUUUUAGGUUUAGUAUAAAUAGAAGAAUUAGAACAUUACUAAGACAUCUUUAUUCAUCUUUUGUUUAGCUCUUUCUUUUCACAGUUUUCUCUAUAGAGUAAUUCAAGAACCCUAGUUUAUUGCU